rnacentral:snRNA from 1 species
UGAUGCUGUGUUCUUUAUUUCGUGUGCGUGAGUUAUCGUUAAUAAACCAAAAAGACAAAAAAAAAAAAAAAAAAAAAAAAAAAAAAAAAAAAAAGAUUCUUUCGCCUUUUACUAAAGAAUUCCGUGGAGAGGAGCAGUUCAAUGAGUCUUCAACAUUUUUCGAUAUCCGACUUUGGUCGGUUU